GACGAACGCUGGCGGCGUGCUUAACACAUGCAAGUCGAACGGAAAGGCCCUGCUUUUGUGGGGUGCUCGAGUGGCGAACGGGUGAGUAACACGUGAGUAACCUGCCCUUGACUUUGGGAUAACUUCAGGAAACUGGGGCUAAUAUCGGAUAGGAGCUUUUGCUGCAUGGUGGGGGUUGGAAAGUUUCGGCGGUUUGGGAUGGACUCGCGGCUUAUCAGCUUGUUGGUGAGGUAGGGGCUUUCCAAGGUUUUGACGGGUAGGCGGCCUGAGAGGGUGACCGGCCACAUUGGGACUGAGAUACGGCCCAGACUCCUACGGGAGGCAGCAGUGGAGAAUAUUGCACAAUGGGCGGAAGCCAGAUGCAGCAACGCCGCGUGCGGAAUGACGGCCUUCGGGUUGUAAACCGCUUUCGCCUGUGACGAAGCGUGAGUGACGGUAAUGGGUAAGGAAGCACCGGCUAACUACGUG
rnacentral:rRNA from 1 species